rnacentral:lncRNA from 1 species
UUACCAGUUUUAGAUCGAGGUCGGAAACUGACACGAAAACUUAAAUUCUGUGAUGGGUCACAUGCAUGUAACUCAUGGUGUUGCAGUUCGCGAACACAUAAAAGGACAAUUUUCUAAUUAACGUCAGCUUGGAGUUUAGGAUACAUCCCAGACAUCUUAGUUGCCCUUACAUAUUUUUGGAGACAUUUGUCUCAGCCAUUAAUGAAGCAAC